AUUUCUUCUGCUAUAGUGUAUCUUUUUGAAAACAUUCUAUAAAAUGAAUACUAUUUGUUUAGGGGUAUGUAAUGAAGUUGCCAGGCAUUCAACUUGAAGCGAAGCAGUCUCGUACAGGGUCUCAUCCAACUCAGUCAGUGUAAAUGGUGAAGAAAAACUGGAUUCAUUUGGGCAGUGAGCUUUUAGAGAGGAAGCUGAAGAACUACAACUUGGACACAACGAGAGCUGGCUGCCGUGGAAAUCUUUAAACAUAUUACGAUCAGGAGUUGGAUGAUCCAGAGACCACCUGAAGAGGUGGGGCUUCAGAACAGAAGAUACGUCUUGUGAUUGUGGACAAGAACAAACCACAAGCCACAUGCUCCACUGCCUUUUGUGCCCUACAUCCUGCACGAAGAUUGAUCUCCUGCAAGCCACUCCAAGCGCCUUGGAGGUUG